UUUAACUGGAGAGUUUGAUCCUGGCUCAGAACGAACGCUGGCGGCGUGCCUAACACAUGCAAGUCGAACGAGAAAGGGACUUCGGUCCUGAGUAAAGUGGCGCACGGGUGAG
rnacentral:rRNA from 1 species